GCGAGACCCCUCUCCAACGAGCGAGCCAGACAUCGCAGACUACUAUGAUCCAGAAAUGUUUCAAACCAGACGCAUGACUCGAUCAAUGUCUAUGUACUACCACCCGAAGAUUUACCCUCGGGAAUACCCUUGAGUACCUAUCAUUAGUUUUGUUCGUGUCUUGUUUACUGUGAUUGCAUUUUAUCUUCAAAUAUUUGUUACAAUUUACAUUUUCUGGAGGUCAGGUCCAUGCCCCCCUCCUCUAUUUGUUUUCCCGCUUUUCAUUAUAUAAA
rnacentral:lncRNA from 1 species